AUUUUAGCCCUAAAUUCUUCACCGAAUUAUUAAAAGCUAUAAUCUCCAAAUUUAAAGGAUUUGGCGGUAGUCUAGUCCCGUCAGAGGAACCUGUGUUAUAAACGAUAAACCACGCAAAAUCUUACCUAACUUCAGUUUGUAUACCGUCAUUAUCAGAUAACUUUUAAAAAAAAAGUUAUUAAAAUAAGCUUAUUUUUAAUAUAUUAGAUCAAGGUGCAGCUUAUAUUUAGGUUCUUCAUGGGUUACACUAAAAUUUAUUUACACGCACAUGAACUUUAAACAUUUCAUUUAAGGAGGAUUUGAUAGUAAAAUAAGUUUAAUAAGCUAAUUUGAUAAAGGAUCUAGACUAUGUACAUAUCGCCCGUCACUUUCAUUUUCAAAUGAAAUAAGUCGUAACAUAG
rnacentral:rRNA from 1 species